CCCGGGGCUGCGGGGCUCCGGGUGCGGGGGAGACCCGAGGACCGCAGAACGGCGGGAGUCUCCGCGCUCUUCCUCCGCGCAGACGAUCGCGGGUCCCCUGGUCCAACAGGUUCACCGGGCGCUGCGGGACACGGGACCGCGCCUCCGUCUGCAGCGCUCCGGCUGCAGAAAGGGCAAGGGGCCUGGGGACCCAGUUCUGGACAGUCUCCCCGACAGCCUGGACCACUCAUCCUCUCCAUCUCAUAGGACCCAGGUGCCUUUUCGUCAUCCUGCAACCUCCGCAUCCGCUUGGUAACUCCGAGGGGCCUGCCCUCUCUGCAGGGGGAGCGCCGCCGGCGGAGGCGCGGUCCCGGGUUCCGCAGCGCCCGCUGAGCACGUUGGGCCGGGGGACCCGCGAUCCUGUGCGCGGAGGGAGGGCGCGGAGACUCCGGCCGCCCUCGCGGACUCGCGGUCUCCUGCGCGCCCAGAGCCCCGCAGCCCCCAGGGAAGCGCCGAGGCGACCGCGGACUCGGAGCUCCGCUCCCUCCUGCCCUGCCAGGGCCAUGCGUUCUCCGUCUCCCUUCCUCGGGCUCCGCCCCGCGGCCAUGGCCCCAGCUACACCCGAGCGGCCAAGCUGAGCAGCGCAGCCCUGCCACCAUUGCUCCUGAGAAGCUGGGUGUCCACAGGCGUCGGGGCCUCCUCCCACCCCGGCCACCCCGGGUCUAUGCCACAGGUGAAGAAGAAGGUGAAAGUGAAGGUGAUGCCUGGGGCAGGUGCCCAUUUCUGCUCCCUUAACCUUCAUCUUUAUCAGACUAGGAUGCGCUGCCCUUCCAGGACUUUCUGGCCCCUUUAAGCCUGGAGUGUCUGACGCAGGUGCGUCAGGGGCUCCUCACAGCCUGAGGCUCCUUAAUUGGAGAGGGGAUCAGGCUAACAGACACAGGGAUGCUGUGUUCCCUCUCGGACUGAUGGUGAGGACCCCAUUUUUGAGAGAGACCUCAGGUCACCACUUGCUCUGUUUCAGCUGUUAGGGAAUUUUAGGAAGUGGUUUUUGUUCCCACCUGCAGUUGUCAGGAUCCCUGUUUCUUCCAGCCUUCGAAGAUCUAAAUACGUCUUCUUCAGGAGCCAGUCUGCCACACCAUCGCCUGAGCUGCAUGGCAUACUUAUCCCCACGUUACAGAUGAGGAAACGGAGACCGAGAAAGGCGACAGCAGUCGAUGACGGUGUCAGGCAUAGAACCCAGUUUUCCUGUAAAGCCAGUGUCAUUUCCUCUGCCCCUGGCUUCCUUUGUUGUGAAGCAGGGAGGGGCUGGAAGUGAUUUUACCCUGACUGGGCACCCGAAGGCUGCAUCCCCUCAGAGUUGGCUGCAGGAAAGGUGACCCUGGACCUGAACUGUGCAGAGGAAGAGAGGUGGAGAGGGUGAGUCUGUGGGACUUCCCUUCCCUACAUCCCACCUUUUCUACCCUUUACCACAGGGAUGCAGGAGCAAUGGCGUCCCAUUGGGUCCCGACUUCUCUGCUGAAUCAGACCCUGGGCCUAAGCUCUCCAUCCCAACCCUCACCAUCUCAGCCAGCGCCAGGCCAAGGAAAGUCUCUGGUCUCACCACCUCACAAUCCCUCCACUUAUGCUAUCCCUGGAAGA
ensembl:lncRNA